CAGCACCUCAAGUGGUCAGGAUGAUUAUUGGGCCUAAAGCAUCCGUAGCCGGCGCUGUAAGUUUUCGGUUAAAUCUGUACGCUCAACGUACAGGCUGCCGGGAAUACUGCAGCGCUAGGGAGUGGGAGAGGUAGACGGUACUCGGUAGGAAGGGGUAAAAUCCUUUAAUCUAUUGAUGACCACCUGUGGCGAAGGCGGUCUACCAGAACACGUCCGACGGUGAGGGAUGAAAGCUGGGGGAGCAAACCGGAUUAGAUACCCGAGUAGUCC
rnacentral:rRNA from 1 species